rnacentral:rRNA from 1 species
GAGGGAAAGGCGAAAAGAACCCCGGCGAGGGGAGUGAAAAAGAACCUGAAACCGUGUACGUACAAGCAGUAGGAGCCCCAUCACUCAAGUGCCUCGCACUGAGUGAUGCAAGAACAUCACCGAAAAUAGCGCCGAAUUUGCUAACAAGGUUGGUCGAUUUUUUCAAACCGUCGCGCAGUGUACCUAGAAGUACACGAGCAACGGAAGUUAAAAAAUCGGGCAAGAUUGAACGCAAAGGCAAGCGGGACAUUUGAGGAUGGGGUGACUGCGUACCUUUUGUAUAAUGGGUCAGCGACUUAUAUUCUGUAGC